rnacentral:rRNA from 1 species
UACGUAGGGCGCAAGCGUUGUCCGGAAUCAUUGGGCGUAAAGAGCUCGUAGGCGGCCUGUCGCGUCUGCUGUGAAAUCCCGGGGCUCAACCCCGGGCGUGCAGUGGAUACGGGCUGGCUAGAGGCAGGCAGGGGAGAACGGAAUUCCCGGUGUAGCGGUGAAAUGCGCAGAUAUCGGGAGGAACACCGGUGGCGAAGGCGGUUCUCUGGGCCUGUACUGACGCUGAGGAGCGAAAGCGUGGGGAGCGAACAGG